AUUCCAGCUCCAGUAGUGUAUAUUAAAGUUGUUGCAGUUAAAAAGCUCGUAGUUGGAUUUCUGACUUCAAAUACCUGACCCUCCCUCGCUAGAGGUGUGUGUGCCGGAGUAUUUGUAUCAUCCUUUCAGUGAUCGGCUCUACCCUUAACCGGGUCGGAGCUGCUAGCUGGAUCUUUUACUUUGAAGAAAUUGGAGUGUUUAAAGCAGGCUUACGCCAGAACAUAUUAGCAUGGAAUAAUAAUUUAGGACUUUUGUUCUAUUUUGUUGGUUUCUAGGACGAAAGUAAUGAUUGAUAGGGAUAGUUGGGGGUGCUAGUAUUCGGCGGCCAGAGGUGAAACUCUUUGAUCCGCUGAAGACUAACUUAUGCGAAAGCAUUCACCAAGGAUGUCUUCAUCA
rnacentral:rRNA from 1 species